AUGGCAUAUUAUUCAGAUUGUCUCGGAGAUGCGAGGAACACUACAAACAGCACGGAAACUAUUCAAGAACUGAUAAGUAAGAUUUCCCAUCGAUUAGAUGAUUUAGCUCGGCAGCGAGAAGUAGUUUUUGAGGAUAGGCCUAGCUCUUAUGAUCCUUAUUCUAGAGGUCAUCCUUAUGUUGCUCCUACAUGCCAUAUUUGUGGAUUUCAGGGCCAUUCACCUGCUGAAUGUCAGCGUGGUUACUCUCACUCUCCCGAUUGUUAUGGCAUGAGCUUCGCCCCACAGCCUAGCUCAUACCAAAACAAUUACUCAUAUGGGUGGCCUGAGAACCAGAAUAUGUCAUAUAGGAGCAACAACCCUGAGAUCUCACUGUUUGCUUCUAGUAAUUAUAUGCAGGGAUUUAGGUACAAUGAGGAGAGCCACAACUAUGCUCCACACCAGAUUUAUUCAGCUCCUACUCAUAUACCUCAACACCAGGAGAUGUUGCCAAUGGAGUUAAAUGGUCCUCCAUUUGGUCAACCAUCAACUCCAGCAACCGCCGAGCAAUCUCAUGUGCAAGUGCCCACACAAGAUAAAUUUGAUGAUAUAGACAACCUCACAUUGCUUAGUCUUGAGUUCACUUGGAGUGCCAAGGAUGAUCCUAUUAGGAAGGUUAUACUAGAGGAAAUGAAGAAGAUCAAGAGUGGAAAAGAGCUAGUUGAAGAAGUAAGGAAGAUUGAGAAGAACAUCAACGCUGGCAGCACUAUUUCUUCACAGCUUGAGAUGAGUGUUCCUGGGAUUCCCCUUGAUACAUGUGAGGUUCCAACACCUUCAUAUCCUGCCAAGGAAGAUAGCAAGUGCCUUGAGGAAGAGAUAUCUUAG
rnacentral:rRNA from 1 species